AUUUGAGAGUUUGAUCCUGGCUCAGGACGAACGCUGGCGGCGUGCCUAAUACAUGCAAGUCGAACGAACUCUGGUAUUGAUUGGUGCUUGCAUCAUGAUUUACAUUUGAGUGAGUGGCGAACUGGUGAGUAACACGUGGGAAACCUGCCCAGAAGCGGGGGAUAACACCUGGAAACAGAUGCUAAUACCGCAUAACAACUUGGACCGCAUGGUCCGAGCUUGAAAGAUGGCUUCAGCUAUCACUUUUGGAUGGUCCCGCGGCGUAUUAGCUAGAUGGUGGGGUAACGGCUCACCAUGGCAAUGAUACGUAGCCGACCUGAGAGGGUAAUCGGCCACAUUGGGACUGAGACACGGCCCAAACUCCUACGGGAGGCAGCAGUAGGGAAUCUUCCACAAUGGACGAAAGUCUGAUGGAGCAACGCCGCGUGAGUGAAGAAGGGUUUCGGCUCGUAAAACUCUGUUGUUAAAGAAGAACAUAUCUGAGAGUAACUGUUCAGGUAUUGACGGUAUUUAACCAGAAAGCCACGGCUAACUACGUGCCAGCAGCCGCGGUAAUACGUAGGUGGCAAGCGUUGUCCGGAUUUAUUGGGCGUAAAGCGAGCGCAGGCGGUUUUUUAAGUCUGAUGUGAAAGCCUUCGGCUCAACCGAAGAAGUGCAUCGGAAACUGGGAAACUUGAGUGCAGAAGAGGACAGUGGAACUCCAUGUGUAGCGGUGAAAUGCGUAGAUAUAUGGAAGAACACCAGUGGCGAAGGCGGCUGUCUGGUCUGUAACUGACGCUGAGGCUCGAAAGUAUGGGUAGCAAACAGGAUUAGAUACCCUGGUAGUCCAUACCGUAAACGAUGAAUGCUAAGUGUUGGAGGGUUUCCGCCCUUCAGUGCUGCAGCUAACGCAUUAAGCAUUCCGCCUGGGGAGUACGGCCGCAAGGCUGAAACUCAAAGGAAUUGACGGGGGCCCGCACAAGCGGUGGAGCAUGUGGUUUAAUUCGAAGCUACGCGAAGAACCUUACCAGGUCUUGACAUACUAUGCAAAUCUAAGAGAUUAGACGUUCCCUUCGGGGACAUGGAUACAGGUGGUGCAUGGUUGUCGUCAGCUCGUGUCGUGAGAUGUUGGGUUAAGUCCCGCAACGAGCGCAACCCUUAUUAUCAGUUGCCAGCAUUAAGUUGGGCACUCUGGUGAGACUGCCGGUGACAAACCGGAGGAAGGUGGGGAUGACGUCAAAUCAUCAUGCCCCUUAUGACCUGGGCUACACACGUGCUACAAUGGAUGGUACAACGAGUUGCGAACUCGCGAGAGUAAGCUAAUCUCUUAAAGCCAUUCUCAGUUCGGAUUGUAGGCUGCAACUCGCCUACAUGAAGUCGGAAUCGCUAGUAAUCGCGGAUCAGCAUGCCGCGGUGAAUACGUUCCCGGGCCUUGUACACACCGCCCGUCACACCAUGAGAGUUUGUAACACCCAAAGUCGGUGGGGUAACCUUUUAGGAACCAGCCGCCUAAGGUGGGACAGAUGAUUAGGGUGAAGUCGUAACAAGGUAGCCGUAGGAGAACCUGCGGCUGGAUCACCUCCUUU
rnacentral:rRNA from 2 species